GCUUCCGAGACUUGGUGAGGGAGCCGUCCCUGGCCAGCGGGCGCUCGGAGCCGAAAGGUGGAGCCACGACUUGGACCCAGGGCUCAGCCCGCUCGGCCGCCCCGACCCCGACGGCGCACGCCCAGCUCGCGCGCAGGAAGGCAUUGUUACGCCGUCGCCUCCGUGAAGACCCGGCGAGCUCCGAGGCCCGGGAAGGCAGUCGUAACUCCCGCUUACAUGAAGGAAGCAACGAGACCACAUUCUUUUUGGGGGGUGGGGGCAGUGGCAGCACGCCCAGUGCCCGUAGGCCCGCCGAGAAGUGUUAUGGGGAGACGCCCAGGACCCCAGAGGCGGGCCGCCGGCGAAGGAGGCUCUCCCGCGAGCAACGCAGCAGAAUAGGAGCAGUCUCCCUCGCCAAAGCCUGCAGUCCAACCGCUAUGCCUGAGAUUCUACCAUUUAGGAUUUCUCAUUCCUAAAAGAAAGCCUGAGAAGAGACCUGGUAUCCUGGACUGAAUGUACCUGCAGGAGACGCUGGAGCCAGGCCUGCAGGGCCAGGCGCAGAGCUGGGAUGGAAAAGGGAGUCUCCAUGGGGCCAGCUGAGACCCCCUGCCCAGGCUCACUACACAACCUUACGCAGGAGUGGCUGCUGAAGCUCACCAGGAAUGGGUCAAGCAGCUGGCAGGGUCAGCCCCAUAGGAAACCCAGGGCACCAACUGAGCCAGGCUGUGCCCACCUGUGCCAGGAACAGAGAUGCAGGGGAGCCUGGGCACUGUCCUUGGGGGAUUCCAAAGUUGGGUGAGGGACUCUAGGGACACCAUAGUAAAGAGAAUAACCAAGAGGGACAGAUUAGAGCAGGGCCUCCAUACAGCACAUUCACAUUGUAGUCUGGGUGGGAGCCCUGCUUUCACAUUGGGUGAGGUGGCCCUGUGAGCAUGAGGUAAGCCAGCCUCUGUCACCAAACCCUGAAACAUGCCCAAAGCCAGACAGACCCCCUUCCCCAAGUAUUAGCACUCCUGUUUGUCACAGUCUGGCUUUUUAUGGGAGCAUUUGAGCAUUUCAGCUUCAACAAGCCCUGUCUCCACUACACAUGGCUGAGCCCCUCCUGCUGGCCCAGGGCCAGCCUGGGGGGACUUGAAUAACCUUAUCUACCAGGCUCCUGUCAGGAUGCUGAGGAGUGGAAGUGCCAGGGCAGAGAGUUCUGUGUGUGCAAGGAGCUGUGAAAGAGGCAUCUCUGCCCCAGUCCCCAUCCCAACCAACAAGACAUAGUGUGACAUCCAUGCAACUUGGAAGGAAAUCAUUGAGAAUGGGGUAAGGCGAUCUAGGGUCCAGGCUGUGUCCAUAUUGCUCUGCUUCUACUAGCAUACUUCAGGUCCAGGAGGUACAGUGCCUCUUAGUGAAGAGUUUCAGAAGGUGGCUGAGUAUUGGAAAGCAGAUGGGGGAGGUGGUAGUUGCAUUGAAAUUUAAAGAGGAGGAACUGCAGAGACUCCAGAAACAUAAUGAGGACUGGCUUCCCCAGGUGAAUGCUCCUCCUUCCUCUCCCCUCAACCCCUUCUUCCCCAUGCUCUUCCCCACUGCCCUGUCUUUUCUGCAAGCCAAUUAGUCUCCCUCCUCCUUAGGAUGCUUUAUCCUACACUUCCUCCCCUUCUUCUGCCCCUUUCUCAUUAUGUUCUGAAAGGACAAAACAGGACUGACUCCAUUUUAUACUGCGUCCUCCAUCUUGUAUAGCUGUGUCCCUGACCCCUCUUCCAAGAAGAAAAACACAGAAUGUGUCAGUUACCCAGCCCGCCCUUGAAUCAGCCAAUGGGAAUGCAAUGGGAACUAACCUAAGGCCAAAAGUAUGCUGACCACCCCCUGUCUUUGUGUAACCAGACCCUAGCCACACCCUGCCUUUGCGUCACUAGCCCCUAGCCCUCACCCAACCAAUUAGAAUUGGCCACCAAGUAUGCCCCCACCUCCCGAUCCCAAGCCCUAUAAAAUCUUUGUUCUCUUGAGACUCGGGGCUCUCUCGCAUCCUGCCGCUGCGUCGGUAGAAGCAGAGGGACCGAGCUCGAGCUUGAAUAAAGGCUCUUUGCUUUUGCAUCGGA